ensembl:lncRNA
ACUUUCCUUUUCUUUGUAAGCCUGCUAGAGUGACAUUCACUGGGGGGUCACAGAAAUCUUUGAGUGAUAAAAGGAGUUUCUAAAUGCUGGUCUUUAACUCACUUAUUUUCUGCAGCAUCCAGGGUGAAGGUAGUAAAACAUGUUGCACUGCUGGGUUGGGAGAUACUAACUGGAAGGAAGGGUGACCCAGAAUGAACUCACUGCUCAUGACCUUUCUUCCCCUUUCAGUGUCUAUGCAGAAGGCUCCAUAAAUGGGAAGAGGUGAUUGUUCUCCUCCCGACUCCCAAUCUUAUAGCAGGUGGCACAGAAGGCUUUUCCAUAGUCUCUUUAAGAAGCUGUGACAUGGACUACAUUUCUCUAAAGGGGAAAGCAAAGUAUCAGAGAGCUUUGCUAGUGUUGAUUACAUACCCAGGUCUGAAGGCAGGUCACAGAAGCUGACAUCCCAGCCCUACCACCGCCUGGCCCUCUGACCUUCCCAGAGUCCUAUGACUUUGUGUAAAAUGGAGAUGGCGGUGGAACCUAACCUGCAGCAUUGUUUCCAGGAUCAAAUGAGUUGGCACACAGGAGGCAUUCAGCCUAUUCCUGGCAUGUAUUUCCCUGGCUGCUACCUUAUGGGGAUUUGACCCAGAGACCUUACACCCACGGUCUCUGUCCACAAACUCGGUGCCAGAUUCUGUGUUAGACACAGACUCCACCCAGUCUCAUGGGGCUCUGGUCAUAAACCAAAUGGUGUGUGCCAUGCAGCGAGGCAGACAAGCUGCACCAGCUGGGGUGAUUGUGAGUGAUGCCCUUUAGGAUGCGCCAUCGGAGUUGGCUUCGUCAGAAGGAUUGGGCCCCCAGGGCGUGAGGGGGAAAAAGAGUUGUGUGGCGAAGGACGUGGGUGUGGUGUUGGGGGAAGUGAUGGGCACCCUGCUAGGUCAGUGGGUGUCUGUGUGUCCAGAGAAUGACCCUGGAUGUUGGUUGCAGAUGGCAUUCAAGGGUUUUGUUGGUUUGUUUUAAUUUUAAAACAUCUUUUUUGCUGAUAUGAAAGUUACAGUGUCCAUAUAUGUGUGGAUUUAUCUCUGGGCUUUCUAUUUUGUUCCAUUGAUCUAUAUGUCUGUCUUUGUGCCAGUACCAUACUGUCUUGAUGACUGUGGCUUUGUAGUAGAGCCUGAAGUCAGGCAAGUUGAUUCCUCCAGUUCCAUUCUUCUUUCUCAAGAUUGCUUUGGCUAUUCGAGGUUUUUUGUAUUUCCAUACAAAUCUUGAAAUUAUUUGUUCUAGUUCUGUGAAAAAUGUGGCUGGUAGUUUGAUAGGGAUUGCAUUGAAUUUGUAAAUUGCUUUGGGUAGUAUACUCAUUUUCACUAUAUUGAUUCUUCC